UCUUCAAAGAGUUUUGGAGCCUUUGUUGUCUCCGUUUUUCAAGAAAAUAGUUAUUUCAUCGAUUUAUGGAGUAUUAUGAAAUUUUACUAAAUUAAUUGAUAAAAAAAUUAUAACGAUUCCCAUAUACCAUGAAAGAGCUUAAAAUACAUUAUUAAAAAUGUAGAAUGUGGUUAAAAAAUUUAAAACAACACUAAAGAUUAUAGGCUUUCAGUAUAUAAAGUAUUUUCCAAAAACUCAAUAAUUUCGAAGGGGCUAACACAUGGAUUUUGAGUAAAAUUCAAAAAAUAUGACAAUAUUGUUUUAAUGCAUAUUUGCAUCUGCACUAACAUAUGAUGAUGUUCAAAGAGGUUUGGAGCCUUUGUUGUCUCCGUUUUUCAAGAAAAUAAAAAUAGUUAUUUUAUAGUGGUUAUUCCAUCGAUUUAGGGAGUAUUAUGAAGUUUUACUAAAUUAAUUAAUAAAAACAAUUAAACGAUGCUCAUUUAC